GACGUAGGGCGCGAGCGUUGUCCGGAUUUAUUGGGCGUAAAGAGCUCGUAGGCGGCUUGGUAAGUCGGAAGUUAAACCAGGAGGCUCAACCUCCUGCCGCUUCUGAUACUGCCAUGGCUUGAGUUUGGUAGGGGAUGACGGAAUUCCUGGUGUAGCGGUGAAAUGCACAGAUAUGUAACGGAACACCUAUUGCGAAGGCAGCUCGCUACACUAUUAUUGACGCUGAGGCACGAAAGCGUGGGGAGCAAACAGG
rnacentral:rRNA from 1 species